rnacentral:rRNA from 1 species
GAAUUCGCCCUUAGAGUUUGAUCCUGGCUCAGGACGAACGCUGGCGGCGCGCCUAACACAUGCAAGUCGAACGAGCGAGAGAGAGCUUGCUUUCUUGAGCGAGUGGCGAACGGGUGAGUAACGCGUGAGGAACCUGCCUCAAAGAGGGGGACAACAGUUGGAAACGACUGCUAAUACCGCAUAAGCCCACGGCUCGGCAUCGAGCAGAGGGAAAAGGAGCAAUCCGCUUUGAGAUGGCCUCGCGUCCGAUUAGCUGGUUGGUGAGGUAACGGCCCACCAAGGCGACGAUCGGUAGCCGGACUGAGAGGUUGAACGGCCACAUUGGGACUGAGACACGGCCCAGACUCCUACGGGAGGCAGCAGUGGGGAAUAUUGCACAAUGGGGGAAACCCUGAUGCAGCGACGCCGCGUGGAGGAAGAAGGUCUUCGGAUUGUAAACCUCUGUUCUAAGUGACGAACAAAUGACGGUAGCUUAGGAGAAAGCCCCGGCUAACUACGUGCCAGCAGCCGCGGUAAUACGUAGGGGGCAAGCGUUGUCCGGAAUUACUGGGUGUAAAGGGAGCGCAGGCGGAGAAGCAAGUCAGUGGUGAAAACGAUGGGCUUAACUCAUCGACUGCCAUUGAAACUGUUUCCCUUGAGUGAAGUAGAGGCAGGCGGAAUUCCGAGUGUAGCGGUGAAAUGCGUAGAUAUUCGGAGGAACACCAGUGGCGAAGGCGGCCUGCUGGGCUUUAACUGACGCUGAGGCUCGAAAGUGUGGGGAGCAAACAGGAAUAGAUACCCUGGUAGUCCACACUGUAAACGAUG